AUUGAACGCUGGCGGCAGGCCUAACACAUGCAAGUCGAGCGGAUGAAGGGAGCUUGCUCCUGGAUUCAGCGGCGGACGGGUGAGUAAUGCCUAGGAAUCUGCCUGGUAGUGGGGGAUAACGUCCGGAAACGGGCGCUAAUACCGCAUACGUCCUGAGGGAGAAAGUGGGGGAUCUUCGGACCUCACGCUAUCAGAUGAGCCUAGGUCGGAUUAGCUAGUUGGUGGGGUAAAGGCCUACCAAGGCGACGAUCCGUAACUGGUCUGAGAGGAUGAUCAGUCACACUGGAACUGAGACAUGGUCCAGACUCCUACGGGAGGCAGCAGUGGGGAAUAUUGGACAAUGGGCGAAAGCCUGAUCCAGCCAUGCCGCGUGUGUGAAGAAGGUCUUCGGAUUGUAAAGCACUUUAAGUUGGGAGGAAGGACAGUAAGUUAAUACCUUGCUGUUUUGACGUUACCAACAGAAUAAGCACCGGCUAACUUCGUG
rnacentral:rRNA from 1 species